CUUCAACUGGCUUUAAUAAUAAACAAAAGCACUGGCUUAAGUGCUUCAAAGUUCAGAGAGAUUUCUGGCUUCGAGAAAAGCUUGAAACAACACCACAGACUUGUCAUCAAGGGCUCAACUUCUCUUCAUCUUUUACUUUUGGCUUUUACGAUGUUGGCUCCAUGCCUAGUCUCCACACAGUAAUCCCUGCUCCGUUCAGCAGGCAGUUCCAGGCUCUCUCCUCACAAGAGUAAAAUGGCUACAGCAGUUCCAGAUCUUGCAACUUCACACCGCACUAUCCAGGCUAAUGUCCAGUUGGCCAGUCAACCAUGGCUGCAAUGAAAGGAAAAUGACUUUGGGGAAGUAACAUGGACUUCUUGGAGUAAAACAAUCAAGGCCUUAUGAAACUGACAGCUUCCGCUACCUGUGUCUUAGAACAAUGCUCUUGAAAACCAGCCACCAUGCUGUGAGGAAGACCAAAGAAUCCCAUGGGGAAGCCCACAUAGAGAAGAACUGGAAGUUCCAGACUGAAGACCUGCUGUGUUCCCAAACAGUCAGUACCAAUUUGCCUUUUAAGAGAGUGAGCUAUCAUAUAAAUGACUUCUCUGGAUCCAGAAAAGCCUAGUACUUGACCUACAAAAUCAUGAGCAAAAUAAAAUUGCUCUUUUAAGACAUUAUCUUUUGGGGUAUUUUCACAGGCAACCGGCACCCACUAUAAAAAGCUGUCACCUCAUAUGAGAUAACAUCCUCAAGACAUUUUGAGUAGUUUAAUCCAGAUCACCAGAAACCCCCUUUAUUUUAUCUCCAAGCAAACACGUAUUUCCUGCCUUUCAGUAAUGUAUGUUCUAAAAGAGGAAAAACACAUUGAGAUACAAAAGCACAUUAUAAGACAGAAAACUCUAUGUUCCAUUUCCUAUCAUUUACCUUGAUGUGAACAACCAUCUCCAAAAGGGGGACUAGUUGCCAUUGCUUCAUAUCUCCCUCUCAUC
rnacentral:lncRNA from 1 species